CAGAUGGUUGCUGCAAGGACUGAGAACAGUCAGUGCUUAGAGGAGCUGCCUAUGAGAAACUUUGAGGAGGAAGAGACCCUGCAGAGGAGGCAUCAUUCCUGGUCCUCCUCAAUGGCAUUCUGCAGAGCAGGAUGGACAGUCCUUCAGCCCUGAAGAAGAGCUCUUUGAGCUGCUUCCUGAGGACCCAAUCUCUUUGUGGCAGCAGAUGUGGGAUUGAUUGAAGAAGUCCUUUUGCUGGGUGGUGUUAGCUGUGGAAAACUUGAUGGAAAUGUUCUAGGGCACUCUUCAAUUGCAAAUAUGUGGUAGGAUUUAUGCAAUUGAUGCUGCCUAAUGCAGGGGCCACAGGAGAGCCUCAGAGCAGAGUGUUCCCAGGCUCUGGUAGGGCUGUGGUGAUGCCUCCUGUCAUGUUCUCACCAGGACUUGGACUUAGAGGUUAAACAUCUCAGCAGUGCAGAACAGAUCCAGGGCUGGCUUCAGCUUCUGCUGCAUCAUUCAUGAGUAUGGGAAAGCUCUGAAGAAUGUGACAGACUUUGGGUUAGGUCCUUAACACAGCAUUGCUCCUCCUGAGAUGAAAUGUGAGCAUCAUGUCCCUGUAAGAUAGGAGUGCACAGGCUGGGAACUGUGGGAUAAUGGCAUAAAUAAAGGAGAGGUGAAGUCUU